GAACUUUCCAGAGAUGGAUUGGUGCCUUCGGGAACUGUGAGACAGGUGCUGCAUGGCUGUCGUCAGCUCGUGUUGUGAAAUGUUGGGUUAAGUCCCGCAACGAGCGCAACCCUUAUCCUUUGUUGCCAGCGGUCCGGCCGGGAACUCAAAGGAGACUGCCAGUGAUAAACUGGAGGAAGGUGGGGAUGACGUCAAGUCAUCAUGGCCCUUACGACCAGGGCUACACACGUGCUACAAUGGCGCAUACAAAGAGAAGCGACCUCGCGAGAGCAAGCGGACCUCAUAAAGUGCGUCGUAGUCCGGAUUGGAGUCUGCAACUCGACUCCAUGAAGUCGGAAUCGCUAGUAAUCGUGGAUCAGAAUGCCACGGUGAAUACGUUCCCGGGCCUUGUACACACCGCCCGUCACACCAUGGGAGUGGGUUGCAAAAGAAGUAGGUAGCUUAACCUUCGGGAGGGCGCUUACCACUUUGUGAUUCAUGACUGGGGUGAAGUCGUAACAAGGUAACCGUAGGGGAACCUGCGGUUGGAUCAC
rnacentral:rRNA from 4 species